AGCUUAAAAGGCAACGGAUUUCUAAGCCGUGGGUCACAGGUUCGAAUCCUGUCCGGA
rnacentral:tRNA from 1 species